GACAACUCUCAACAACGGAUAUCUUGGCUCCCGUAACGAUGAAGAACGCAGCGAAAUGCGAUACGUAGUGUGAAUUGCAGAAUUCCGUGAACCAUCGAAUCUUUGAACGCAAAUUGCGCUCGAGGCUUCGGCCAAGAGCAUGUUUGCCUCAGCGUCGGCU
rnacentral:rRNA from 1 species